AUCAUGAGUACCGGUCGUAUUGCUCUGGCAGACCGGUCGGCAACCCUUUCCCGCUGUGACGGGGUGCCCCAGAUGACGAUCCGGUCGGAAGCCACACCGCUUCUGGCAAGCACGG
rnacentral:ncRNA from 1 species